AGAGUUUGAUCCUGGCUCAGGAUGAACGCUGGCGGCGUGCCUAAUACAUGCAAGUCGAGCGAACAGAUAAGGAGCUUGCUCCUUUGAAGUUAGCGGCGGACGGGUGAGUAACACGUGGGUAACCUACCUAUAAGACUGGGAUAACUUCGGGAAACCGGAGCUAAUACCGGAUAACAUUUAGAACCGCAUGGUUCUAAAGUGAAAGAUGGUUUUGCUAUCACUUAUAGAUGGACCCGCGCCGUAUUAGCUAGUUGGUAAGGUAACGGCUUACCAAGGCGACGAUACGUAGCCGACCUGAGAGGGUGAUCGGCCACACUGGAACUGAGACACGGUCCAGACUCCUACGGGAGGCAGCAGUAGGGAAUCUUCCGCAAUGGGCGAAAGCCUGACGGAGCAACGCCGCGUGAGUGAUGAAGGGUUUCGGCUCGUAAAACUCUGUUAUUAGGGAAGAACAAAUGUGUAAGUAACUGUGCACAUCUUGACGGUACCUAAUCAGAAAGCCACGGCUAACUACGU
rnacentral:rRNA from 1 species